GACGAACGCUGGCGGCGUGCUUAACACAUGCAAGUCGAACGGAAAGGCCCUGCUUUUGUGGGCUGCUCGAUUGGCGAACGGGGGAGUAACACGAGUGUAACCUGCCCUUGACUUUGGGAUAACUUCAGGAAACUGGGGCUAAUCCCGGAUAGGAGCUCCCGCUGCAUGGUGGGGGGUGGAAAGUUUCGGCGGUUGGGGAUGGACGCGCGGCUUAUGGGCUUGUUGGUGGGGUAGUGGCUUACCAAGGCUUUGACGGGUAGCCGGCCUGUGAGGGGGACCGGCCACAUUGGGACUGCGAUAGGCACCAGACGGGUACAGGAGGCAGCGGGGGGGAAUAUUGCACAGCGAGACGAAGCGGGAUGAGGAGACGUCGGGUGCGUGAAGACGGCCUGUGGGUUGAGAACCGCUUCCGGCUGUGACGAAGCGUGUGUGACGGUAAUGGAUAAAGAAGCACCGGCUAACUACGUG
rnacentral:rRNA from 1 species